ACACAAACCAGCCCAUACAAUUUUGUAAAGCAAAAUCUAAUACUAUGUGAACACCUUUUUCCAUCCUUUUUACCUUGGGGAGCAGAAAUAAGUCUCCCUAAGAGGAAAAUCAAAGAUGGUGAUUACUGUAACUUAUAUUAACCAGUAUGGAAAAUGACUGUAAACACAUCAUUCAAAUGGAAUUUAUUUCUUUUCAUAA